UACAGAGGGUGCGAGCGUUGUUCGGAAUUAUUGGGCGUAAAGAGCUCGUAGGCGGCUCAGUAAGUCAGGUGUGAAAACUCCAGGCUCAACCUGGAGACGCCACCUGAUACUGCUGUGGCUAGAGUCCGGUAGGGGAGCAUGGAAUUCCUGGUGUAGCGGUGAAAUGCGCAGAUAUCAGGAGGAACACCAGUGGCGAAGGCGGUGCUCUGGGCCGGAACUGACGCUGAGGAGCGAAAGCGUGGGGAGCAAACAGG
rnacentral:rRNA from 1 species